ACGAUCAGUAGCCGACCUGAGAGGGUGACCGGCCACAUUGGGACUGAGACACGGCCCAAACUCCUACGGGAGGCAGCAGUGGGGAAUAUUGCACAAUGGGCGGAAGCCUGAUGCAGCGACGCCGCGUGAGUGAAGAAGUAUCUCGGUAUGUAAAGCUCUAUCAGCAGGGAAGAAAAUGACGGUACCUGACUAAGAAGCCCCGGCUAACUACGUGCCAGCAGCCGCGGUAAUACGUAGGGGGCAAGCGUUAUCCGGAUUUACUGGGUGUAAAGGGAGCGUAGACGGCGACGCAAGUCUGGAGUGAAAGCCCGGGGCCCAACCCCGGGACUGCUUUGGAAACUGUGCUGCUGGAGUGCAGGAGAGGUAAGUGGAAUUCCUAGUGUAGCGGUGAAAUGCGUAGAUAUUAGGAGGAACACCAGUGGCGAAGGCGGCUUACUGGACUGUAACUGACGUUGAGGCUCGAAAGCGUGGGGAGCAAACAGGA
rnacentral:rRNA from 1 species